rnacentral:rRNA from 1 species
UGGGGAAUAUUGCGCAAUGGGGGCAACCCUGACGCAGCAACGCCGCGUGAAGGAUGACGGUCUUCGGAUUGUAAACUUCUUUAAGUGUGGAAGAAAUUGACGGUACACACAGAAUAAGCCACGGCUAACUACGUGCCAGCAGCCGCGGUAAUACGUAGGUGGCGAGCGCUGUCCGGAUUUACUGGGUGUAAAGGGCGUGUAGGCGGGAUUACAAGUCAGAUGUGAAAUACCGGGGCUUAACUCCGGGGCUGCAUUUGAAACUGUAGUUCUUGAGUGCCGGAGAGGGAAAGCGGAAUUCCUAGUGUAGCGGUGAAAUGCGUAGA